UCUUCGCCUGCGGCAGAAAGAAAUGGUCGCCCUUCGGCGGCGGCGCGGUGGCGGCGUCGUUCGAGCCGAGGCGAAGGA
rnacentral:tRNA from 1 species